CAAGCAACACAGAGAAAUGUUGGCCUGCUGAAAAUAGAAGUGCAGAGACUCUCUCCCGUGACAGAAUGAGGCGUGGAGGAUUCGCAGAACUGUUUCCUCAAGGGCCCCAUAGUGAUACCGUCUUUUAUUCCUUUUAGUAGCCUCAUCAGUGCCCUGGAUGCAGUGACUUGUGUCAGGACAGCGUUCUCCAUGCUGGCUGCGGGUGA
rnacentral:lncRNA from 1 species